GGAGUCUGGGCCGUGUCUCAGUCCCAAUGUGGCCGUUCACCCUCUCAGGCCGGCUACUGAUCGUCGCCUUGGUGGGCCGUUACCCCGCCAACAAGCUAAUCAGACGCGGGUCCAUCUUAUACCACCAGAGUUUUUCACACUGAGUCAUGCGACUCUGUGCGCUUAUGCGGUAUUAGCGUUCGUUUCCAAACGUUAUCCCCCUGUAUAAGGCAGGUUACCCACGCGUUACUCACCCGUCCGCCACUAAGUCACUAAAUCGUCACCCCGAAGGGAUCGUAAUAAAGUGCUUCGUUCGACUUGCAUGUGUUAAGCACGCCGCCAGCGUUCAUC
rnacentral:rRNA from 1 species